rnacentral:lncRNA from 1 species
AAGACUACAUUCUCUUCUAAGCAUGCGGUGCCUCUCUCCAGGCUAUUGGAAACCAGAAGUGCUGGUAGCUGAGGAAGUCUAUGCUUAAAGUAAGAGCUGGAAAGCAUUAUUUAUUUCCUGUCACAAUUCUUUUCGUUCUUAUUCCUGAGGAGAUGGCAUAAUCUAAGGUGGAGCACACUUCAAAUUGCAUUCCUGAUCAGGAGAUUUAAAAGACGGUGAAGAAAAUAAAAAUGUUUUAUUUUCCUUACUACA